rnacentral:lncRNA from 1 species
UUUUUUUAUUUGAAUUGUCUAUAAAAGAUUCACUUAUGAUAAUUCUUAUAACAAUACUUCAGGGAUUGUUGGAGUAAUUAAACUAUAUUGGCAUGUUUUAAUUUCUAUGGCACCUUCAUCAGAAUAAAAACUAAAGAGUACAAAAUGGUGAAGUGAUAAUUUGCACUUCACAAUGUCAACAGGAGGAAAAAUAAUAAAUAAAAAAUAAAAGAAGGUAAUAAUGGGAGUAAGUUUUAAAAAGAAUGUUAAAUAAAAUUUGUUGAAUAGUGUUUAAUCAAAUUUUGCAGAGGUACAUGCUUCCAAUUGGCUUCGCUCAGAGUUACUGCCUCUAAUUGGGACCACUCUGCCGGGGGUACUGCUUCUAAUUAGCUUUAGCAGACAGAGGUAUAUAUGUACUGCUUCCAAUCAGCUUCGCAACAAGACAGAGGGUAUGUGCUCCCAAUUAGCUUCACUAAGAGGUACAUGCUUCCAAUUGGCUUCGCUCAGACAAACAUACUUCUUCCAGUGUUGAAAUAGUACGGUAAGCAAGUCUGUACUACAUCCAGCAUCGUAAAUGGUACAUAAUUGCAAGUCAAAUGUCGUCCAAAUUUACAAAAACAUAUUUUAUUUAACAUUCUUGAUCCAGUUAAAGUUCACAUCUACGUUCACUCCCUAUUUGUAAUUUAUCCUGAUGGUGUCAUUGUCAAAUGCAAAUUAACAUUACAGAAUUCUGAAUUCUGUACUUUCCUUUAGUUCAGUUUCAAUCCUGAUGAAGGACCCAUAGGAACCAAAAUAUGUCUUAUUGAUUCACUGUAGCAAUCCCUAUAGUAUUUUUCUUAUCUUUUGAUUGAAAGAAGCAUCUGUUCAAGUUUGGUAAAAAUCCAGAAUAGUUUAUGAAUCUAAUAAAUGUUUAAAAAA